AUUUUAUUGGCGUACGAGCCAGCGUUCUAGUCUGAUGGAAGCCCCGCUCACUGGGAGGUCAUGAACUGGAGACUUGAGGCAGAGAGGGUGAAUCCAUGUGUAGCGUGAAUGCGUAGAUAUAUGAGACACCAGUGCGAAGCGCUCUCUGUCUGUAACUGACGCUGAGGCUCGAAGCGUGGGAGCAACCAGGAUUAGAUACCCUGGUAGUCCCCGCCGUAAACGAUGAGUGCUAAGUGUUGGAGGGUUUCCGCCCUUCAGUGCUGCAGCAAACGCAUUAAGCACUCCGCCUGGGGAGUACGACCGCAAGGUUGAAACUCAAAGGAAUUGACGGGGCCCGCACAAGCGGUGGAGCAUGUGGUUUAAUUUGAAGCAACGCGAAGAACCUUACCAGGUCUUGACAUCCUUUGACCCCUUUAGAGAUAGAGCUUUCCCUUUGGGGACAAAGUGACAGGUGGUGCAUGGUUGUUGUCAGCUCGUGUCGUGAGAUGUUGGGUUAAGUCCCGCAACGAGCGCAACCCUUAUUGUUAGUUGCCAUCAUUUAGUUGGGCACUUUAGCGAGACUGCCGGUGACAAACCGGAGGAAGGUGGGGAUGACGUCAAAUCAUCCUGCCCCUUAUGACCUGGGGUACACACGUGGUACAAUGGGAAGUACAACGAGUCGGUAGACCGGGAGGUCAUGCAAAUUUUUUAAAGGUUUUUUCAAUUUGGAUUGCAGGGUGCAAAUUGCCUGCAUGAAGCCGGAAUCGGUUGUAAUCGCGGAUCAGCCCGCCGCGGUGAAUACGUUUCCGGGCCUUGUACACCCCGCCCGUCCCCCCCCGAGAGUUUGUAACCCCCGAAGUCGGUGAGGUAACCUUUUUGGAGCCAGCCGCCUAAGGUGGGAUAG
rnacentral:rRNA from 1 species